rnacentral:rRNA from 1 species
AUUGAACGCUGGCGGCAGGCCUAACACAUGCAAGUCGAACGGUAACAGGAAGCAGCUUGCUGCUUCGCUGUCGAGUGGCGGACGGGUGAGUAAUGUCUGGGAAACUGCCUGAUGGAGGGGGAUAACUACUGGAAACGGUAGCUAAUACCGCAUAACGUCGCAAGACCAAAGAGGGGGACCUUAGGGCCUCUUGCCAUCGGAUGUGCCCAGAUGGGAUUAGCUAGUAGGUGGGGUAACGGCUCACCUAGGCGACGAUCCCUAGCUGGUCUGAGAGGAUGACCAGCCACACUGGAACUGAGACACGGUCCAGACUCCUACGGGAGGCAGCAGUGGGGAAUAUUGCACAAUGGGCGCAAGCCUGAUGCAGCCAUGCCGCGUGUAUGAAGAAGGCCUUCGGGUUGUAAAGUACUUUCAGCGGGGAGGAAGGGAGUAAAGUUAAUACCUUUGCUCAUUGACGUUACCCGCAGAAGAAGCACCGGCUAACUCCGUG